GAUGAACGCUGGCGGCGUGCCUAAUACAUGCAAGUCGAGCGAACGGACGAGAAGCUUGCUUCUCUGAUGUUAGCGGCGGACGGGUGAGUAACACGUGGAUAACCUACCUGUAAGACUGGGAUAACUUCGGGAAACCGGAGCUAAUACCGGAUAAUAUUUUGAACCGCAUGGUUCAAAAGUGAAAGACGGUCUUGCUGUCACUUAUAGAUGGAUCCGCGCUGCAUUAGCUAGUUGGUAAGGUAACGGCUUACCAAGGCAACGAUGCAUAGCCGACCUGAGAGGGUGAUCGGCCACACUGGAACUGAGACACGGUCCAGACUCCUACGGGAGGCAGCAGUAGGGAAUCUUCCGCAAUGGGCGAAAGCCUGACGGAGCAACGCCGCGUGAGUGAUGAAGGUCUUCGGAUCGUAAAACUCUGUUAUUAGGGAAGAACAUAUGUGUAAGUAACUGUGCACAUCUUGACGGUACCCAAUCAGAAAGCCACGGCUAACUACGUG
rnacentral:rRNA from 1 species